AAAGAUCAUAUGUGAGGGAGAGAUUUGGUUUUGUUACAAGAAUAGAUAAAAAGCUUUGAAAGAGGUUUUGUUGAUUUAUGCUUUAAAGCCUGAAGGAGGAAGAAGNNNNAGAGCAGCAAGAGAGCUUAAAGGGUAAGAGCUAAAGACUCAUAAAUCUUCAUCAACAAACAAACAUGCUCAAGAAAGAGAGAGUGAGUGAACGGU
rnacentral:misc_RNA from 1 species